ACCGGCCCGCGCGCCGGUCAUGUGCCGUCGCUUGGCGCCUGUUCCCCCGGAGGUUGACCUUUCAAGGAAAUGAUGCUUCGCUCCUUUAUUUAACCAAAUAAUAUAUUGUCACGCUGAAACUGUGGCGCGAUGACA